AUACGUAGGGGGCGAGCGUUGUCCGGAAUGAUUGGGCGUAAAGGGCGCGUAGGCGGCCCGGUAAGUCUGGAGUGAAGGUCCUGUUUUUAAGAUGGGAAUUGCUUUGGAUACUGUCGGGCUUGAGUGCAGGAGAGGUAAGUGGAAUUCCCAGUGUAGCGGUGAAAUGCGUAGAGAUUGGGAGGAACACCAGUGGCGAAGGCGACUUACUGGACUGUAACUGACGCUGAGGCGCGAAAGUGUGAGGAGCAAACAGGAUUAGAUACCCUGGUAGUCCACACUGUAAACGAUGAAUGCUAGUUGUAGGGGGUAUCGACCCCUUCUGUGCCGCAGUCAACACAAUAAGCAUUCCGCCUGGGGAGUACGGCCGCAAGGUUGAAACUCAAAUGAAUUGACGGGG
rnacentral:rRNA from 1 species